AUCACUAUCAGCCUUUUGCCUAAGAUUAAGUCUAUUUUCUGUUCUUACCACUUUAAUAUCUGAAACAUCUUCUAUCUGAGGACAAUAUAUUAAAUGGAUUUUGGGAGCAGAGAGAUGGAAUAGGAGCUUGCUCCAUCCACUCCAUGCAUCAACCAGGUAUUGCAGUAGCUCUGGGAAUGGUGCACCCUUC